rnacentral:rRNA from 1 species
GGGCUCGCGUGCAGCUUGCAUGCCUGCAGGUCGACGAUUAGAGUUUGAUCAUGGCUCAGAUUGAACGCUGGCGGCAGGCUUAACACAUGCAAGUCGAGCGGAAACGAUGAUAGCUUGCUAUCAGGCGUCGAGCGGCGGACGGGUGAGUAAUACCUAGGAAUCUACCUAGUAGUGGGGGAUAGCACGGGGAAACUCGUAUUAAUACCGCAUACGACCUACGGGAGAAAGGGGGCAGUUUACUGCUCUCGCUAUUAGAUGAGCCUAAGUCGGAUUAGCUAGAUGGUGGGGUAAAGGCCUACCAUGGCGACGAUCUGUAGCUGGUCUGAGAGGAUGAUCAGCCACACCGGGACUGAGACACGGCCCGGACUCCUACGGGAGGCAGCAGUGGGGAAUAUUGGACAAUGGGGGAAACCCUGAUCCAGCCAUGCCGCGUGUGUGAAGAAGGCCUUUUGGUUGUAAAGCACUUUAAGCAGUGAAGAAGACUCCGUGGUUAAUACCCACGGACGAUGACAUUAGCUGCAGAAUAAGCACCGGCUAACUCUGUGCCAGCAGCCGCGGUAAUACAGAGGGUGCAAGCGUUAAUCGGAAUUACUGGGCGUAAAGGGAGCGUAGGUGGCUCGAUAAGUCAGAUGUGAAAUCCCCGGGCUCAACCUGGGAACUGCAUCUGAUACUGUUGAGCUAGAGUAUGUGAGAGGAAGGCAGAAUUCCAGGUGUAGCGGUGAAAUGCGUAGAGAUCUGGAGGAAUACCGAUGGCGAAGGCAGCCUUCUGGCAUAAUACUGACACUGAGGCUCGAAAGCGUGGGUAGCAAACAGGAUUAGAUACCCUGGUAGUCCACGCCGUAAACGAUGUCUACUAGUCGUUGGGUCCCUUGAGGACUUAGUGACGCAGCUAACGCAAUAAGUAGACCGCCUGGGGAGUACGGCCGCA